rnacentral:rRNA from 1 species
GAUGAACGCUGGCGGCGUGCCUAAUACAUGCAAGUCGAGCGAACAGACGAGGAGCUUGCUCCUCUGACGUUAGCGGCGGACGGGUGAGUAACACGUGGAUAACCUACCUAUAAGACUGGGAUAACUUCGGGAAACCGGAGCUAAUACCGGAUAAUAUAUUGAACCGCAUGGUUCAAUAGUGAAAGACGGUUUUGCUGUCACUUAUAGAUGGAUCCGCGCCGCAUUAGCUAGUUGGUAAGGUAACGGCUUACCAAGGCGACGAUGCGUAGCCGACCUGAGAGGGGGAUCGGCCACACUGGAACUGGGACACGGUCCAGACUCCUGCGGGAGGCAGCAGUAGGGAAUCUUCCGCAAUGGGCGAAAGCCUGACGGAGCAACGCCGCGUGAGUGAUGAAGGUCUUCGGAUCGUAAAACUCUGUUAUGAGGGAAGAACAAAUGUGUAAGUAGCUAUGCACGUCUUGACGGUACCUAGUCAGAAAGCCACGGCUAACUACGUG